GAAUGAGUAGGUGUGUCCAAACUUUUGGCUGAUACUGUAUAUAUCUCGUGAAUCUCACACAAAUUGAAAAAAUCAAUGUAAUUUAUUUUUAGGCCAUAUCACCCAGCCAUAGUUAGUCUCUUGCCCCUGGUAGAAACAGUUGAAAGGGUAGUCCAAAACAGAGCUCAUUUGAAGUAUCCAUCACCUAGGCUAACAAGUGAAUGCAGUUUGGGCAUUGUAAAAUAGGAAAAAUACUUUUCAAACAACUCUUCUAAGUGCACAAAAAGUAGACACCCCAAUAGUUCUCCACAUAGUUGGGAUUUAGGACAAAUGUGACUUUGCAUCAAUAUCCAAUUAAGAAAAUUCCAUGGAUGUCAAUGUGUAAGUGCACAAUAUGCACAACGAUUGAAUUCUAGCCCGAGUCAGUUGUUACCGUCCAACUGUUUAGGCUUUGUGGUCAUUGUAGUUUCCAUAUGCUAGUAUGAGUCAGCAUAAGACUGCUGACCCUCAAGAUGGCUGCCUGCUCUCGCAGUGUAUUCAACAUUGGUUACAGAGGGAGAGGAGCCCUAAACUAACACAGCUUGUUUUAACCUCAUUUUCAUCAUCUCCAGCACCAUACCAGUGUCUUCAUAUAUGGCUAGUACUCCUAGGGAGUGCAUUGUUUGGCCUGAGAUCUGAGGGUUUAGGUUCUUAAAGGAAGCCUCCGUGUUGGCACAGCCAGGUUGGGUUGGGCUGAGGCUCAUCCCUGGACAAAUCUGUUCUCACUAAAUCUACACUCUCCCCACCACACUCUCCUCUUCCAAUGGUGUGUGCGCGUGUGUGUGUUGUUAAUAUCCGAAUCCUAGUGAUGAAAAUGUGACGUCAACCUCGAACACUGUUCCCAUUGUUUUCACACACACGCUUUUCGGCUUUUACAGUGCUGUGGUCACACGUUUGACGAGCACACACGCUCACACACACGCUCACACACACGCUCACACGACCACACAAGCAGCUCUAGUGUCUCUUGGAUAUACACUCACUUACAUUAAUAAAUAUUUACAAAAGUCUCUUCUCUAUGGUGACUCACAGACAUAUUACACACACGCGCGCACACACACACACCAUGCAGAGUAUGGGACUGUGUAUGCCUGAUGGCAUCCCAUGUGACCGCCUGAAUAGCGGGUCUAUCCUUGGAUUCUUCACCCUCUUGUUCACCCUGUUAUCUGAGAACUGGUGAUCCAUUUAUUGAUCAAAAAGUAACCAUUAUGGAUGUGUUUAUCCAUAUAACAAUAGUGCACAAUGUUCAGUGCUAAAGUUUACCUUGGUACAGACAACUGACUAUUGUGACUUGACAAUAUUGUUACUGUAUGUAUUGACAGUAUUGUUACUGUAUGUAUUGACAGUAUUGUUACUGUAUGUAUUGACAGUUUCAUGUAUUAACAGUAUUGACAGUAUCGUUAUGCCUAUCUGUGAAUAAAGCAGCUAUUAUGCCUCAAGUCAAGGAACAGUGAAACCUGAUUGUUCUGUGUCUUCUCUCCUUCCUCCCGCCAUCCUCUUUCUUGAGUGACCCGAGGGCCGCGUGCGGACGUGCUGGGGGCCGCGUGCGGACGUGCUGGGGGCCGCGUGCGGACGUGCUGGCUGCUCCUGUCGGAGAGAUAAAGGAGCUGCGUGAGGAGACACUGGACUUCCUUGUAAACAUGUGCACUCAGCGCCAGCGUGGAGAGCCCUACGCUGUGAGGCAUGGAGGAAGAGGGAACCACAUUGCGAAGACCCCUGCUCCUGGGGUGUCUGUUGCAGUACUCGCACACUGUGAGCUGGCCCGGGGAGAGAUCCUGAGGUGGCUGGAAGAGAGGAGGCAGGAAGGAAGGAAAGGAGAGGGAUGGAGAAGGGUCGAGAGGCACCCUCUGGCCCCAGGAGACAAUCAUCUCUAUCCUCACUACCCUGGCCCUGCAUGAGACCCACCCUCAGUCUCCAGCUUCAGUCUCCAAGUAAAUCAAAGGGCAGGAGGAUCGGAGGAUAUCCUGAUGUAGCAAAGGAUCGUUCACUUAUAAACCAGGUCAGUUGCCUGAUGUGGCUGUCUCUUGCUCCUGCUCUCCUUCGCCGUCUCCGGCAGCCACUCUGUCAGGGUGAGGAUACCCAU